GGAGAGAGAGAGAGAGAGAGAGAGAGAGAGAGAGAGAGAGAGAGUAGAAGGAGCACAUGACGGGAUGAAAAGAUCGCGACAGUUUACUUUAAAUGUUGUUCUUGCACCGUACACGUUCACAUUAAAGCGAGCACUAUUAAAUGCACAAUGUCCGAGCCCACGACCCCAGGAAAGAAGGGCAACUUGACCGGAAGUGCCAGAAAA